rnacentral:rRNA from 1 species
GUCUACGGUCAUGCCAACCUGAACAAGCCUGAUCCCAUCUGAUCUUGGAAGCUAAGCAGAGUUGGGCCUGGUUAGUACUUGGAUGGGAGACCACCUAGGAAGACCAGGGGCUGUAGGUG